rnacentral:rRNA from 1 species
AUUGAACGCUGGCGGCAUGCCUUACACAUGCAAGUCGAACGGCAGCGCGGACUUCGGUCUGGCGGCGAGUGGCGAACGGGUGAGUAAUACAUCGGAACGUACCCUGUUGUGGGGGAUAACUAGUCGAAAGAUUAGCUAAUACCGCAUACGACCUGAGGGUGAAAGUGGGGGACCGCAAGGCCUCACGCAGCAGGAGCGGCCGAUGUCUGAUUAGCUAGUUGGUGGGGUAAAGGCCCACUAAGGCGACGAUCAGUAGCUGGUCUGAGAGGACGAUAAGCCACACUGGGACUGAGACACGGCCCAGACCCCUACGGGAGGCAGCAGUGGGGAAUUUUGGACAAUGGGGGCAACCCUGAUCCAGCAAUGCCGCGUGUGUGAAGAAGGCCUUCGGGUUGUAAAGCACUUUUGUCCGGAAAGAAAUCGCGCUGGUUAAUACCUGGCGUGGAUGACGGUACCGGAAGAAUAAGCACCGGCUAACUACGUGCCAGCCGCCGCCGUAA